AUGUGGAAUUUACUCAAAAGAAUCAAGCCUAGAUCAGCUGAACCAUGGAUGAUGAUGGGCGACUUCAAUGAAACGAUGUGGCAAGGGGAACACUUCUCUGCAGCAAAAAGAUCUGAAAGAAACAUGAGUAACUUCAGGGAUUGUAUGGGAUGGUGUGACCUACAGGAUUUGGGUUUUAAAGGGCCGGAAUGGACCUAUGACAAUAAGCAGAAGGGGAUAAAAAACGUAAGAGCACGACUGGACAGAGGGGUAGCGUCUCCGGCUUGGAGUGAACUGUUUCCCCAGGCGCAUAUUCAGCACAUUGUCACUUCGAGGUCCGACCAUUUUCCCCUUCUGCUAUCUCUAACUGAUGCACACCCUCCAGUCAGACACAAAAGCUUCAGAUAUAAAAUAAUGUGGGAGAGAGUCAGCACUUUGGAACCCACUACCAGAGAAGCUUGGAACAGAGAGGGAUUCGCAGGUAGUCUGUCAGAAUUUGCGCUGAAACUAAACAUAAUGCAGACAUCACUAGCGGCAUGGUCCAAGAAAGAUUUUGGCGCGGUUUCCUCGAGCAUUAAAAAGAAGAGACAACGCCUGAAAGUAUUGACAGAGGGGCUGGACCAAAGGAAUAAAGAGGAACAAAUAAGAAAGUUGUCAAAGGAACUUGAUGAACUGCUACUACGCGAGGAAGUAAUGUGGAGGCAAAGAUCACGAGUCACCUGGAUUAGAGAGGGUGACCAAAACGCACGCUAUUUCCACCAAAAAGCUACCUGGCGCCAGAAAAAGAACACAAUUAAAAGGCUAAGAAAUGCUGAUGGAGUCUGGAUAGAAAAGAAGAAGGAGCUCAACACCCUUGCCACAAAGUUCUUAAGGGAAUUGUACACUAAAGAGGAAGGUGUGGCUCCUUUUGACCUGAUUAAUUUGCUACCCCGUUUGGUGGAUGAAGAGAUGAACAAAAAAUUGAUAGGGGGGUUCACAGAGAAGGAAAUAAGCGAUGCCCUUUUUCAGAUCGGCCCGCUAAAGGCUCCGGGCCCGAACGGAUUCCCGGCCCAUUUUUUCCAGCGAAACUGGGAGAUAAUGAAAAAUUAG
rnacentral:rRNA from 1 species